GAAGAGGCUGUUUUCACAGCCACCCAAAGACCCUGGGGAAAGUGC
rfam:Nomascus leucogenys chromosome 1a, whole genome shotgun sequence.